GGGAGGCAACAGGGCCAAGGUUAGCAGGAGAGGCAAGGACAGAAGUGAGAGAUAACAUAGUAUUAUGAAAAUAGGGAGCCACAAGACAAGACCUGCAGUCAGCUUGUAGAAGCUGAAAAAAGUCAAGAAAGGGAAUGGUCCCAGAAUGUCCUGAGGGAAACAGCUUUGCUGAUACAUUGACCUCAUCACAGUGAGCCUGGAGUUGGAUGCCAGAUCUACAGGACUGAGGAAUAAAAGGCAAGCGGGUCCUGGCCCUUGCACUGCAGUUGAGGGAAUCUGAGGGCAGCAUGCAGGCACCAGCACCGAGGGAAGCUUUGGGCCUAGGCCGCAGUGAUUUUGAACUGGAAAUGGCUACAGCACAGCCUGUGUAGACGAGACAGCUUACUGAAAAGCUGAAUGAAAAUUGUGAACAAGCCGAUCUGUUUGUGAUCUUUCAACAUGGCUGCACAGCAACUCUGCAAAUGCUAGAAGAAAAAAACAAAAAGUAAAAGAACUGUAUGUUUGUCAUCAAUUUAAUGUAAAAAUUUAAAACAUAUUUCAGAAUCUUCCCAAGAAGUGCUAAUGUCACCAUGUCAAAUUGUAGUUAUUUAACCUAAAGGAUUUUUUAUUAUUAUAAAAAAUUAGACAUCCAGAUGAAGGUAGAAUGAAUAUUAUAAAUUUAACAGAUCAUAUUGCAUGAAUGAAAUGCACUCUAAUUUGUGAAGUGCUGUUAUACCUAUUAUAUCACUCAAUCCUGGUAGUAAUCCUAAUGAAAUAUGAGUUCAAACAGGUGUUGAUAUCUCAUAAAUGCUGCAGUAAUGAAGACAGAGGCUCAGAUGGGUUAAAUUAUUACGGAGUCACCCGAGCCCCUGGACCUAUGUAAUAACCCAGUGCCGUUUCCCUUCAGUAUUUACAAGAACUCCUACCUUUCCAAAUGCACAUCAUUUAGCUCUAGUACAGGCACCACGAGCAGAGGGUAUAAUUUCCAUUUCUGUCUUCUGCAGUCAAGCAGAAGUUCCUCUCCUUUGUGCACCGAUAGGAGUGCCGUGGAUCACUGGGCCUUGGAGAAGGGAGGCCUUAAGUGUGCUCCAUUUGCACGAUUGUCCUGCAGCACUUGUGGAUGACUGCACAGCCUUCUAAAGUAUGGGAAGCUAAGACCUCUGGCCAGGGAACUGUCUGAAAAUCUCCUUCAAAAACAAUGCUUGAGGGCCGGGGAUUUAGCUCAGUGGCACAGAGCCUGCCUCACAAGUGCAAGGUCCUAAGUUUGAUCUACAGUACAAAAAAAAAAAAAAAAAAAAAGUGCCUGAUCUGGAAGACACAGUCCUCCUGGGUAGGGAUUUGGCAUUGGAUGGUUGUUGGGCAAGACAGUCAGGACCAUGGUCAGCGUAUUGGACCCCAAAGAGAUAGGGCUAGUGUUCAAGGUGAGAAAGUCUUCACGCUUGAAAGAAAGACAGCCAUUUUCACAUUUGGGAUAAUAAAAGAAAUAAGUAGAAUUUUAAAGGUUAUGUAAGUGAAAAAGUUAACGUAUUAAAAUAGUAUAAGGAAUAAAGAACUAAAAAAAUUAAAACCAAAAAUAGCUGAAAUACAAAUGAUAUAAAGAAUAUUCAUAUUCACAUAAACCAAAUGUUGUUAUUGAUUUGGAUAUUUUCUUUUUUGGUACUGGGGAUCGAGCUCGAGUCCUUGCACUUGCGCAGCAGGCGGUGAAACCACUGAGCUAAAUCCCCAGCCUCGAUAUUUUCAUUUUUUGAAAAGCUAAUUUCUGUUGUUUCACAUUAGCAAAUAAAAGCUGCCAGGUAAUCGACCUCCUCAAUAUUAAGGUUGGUAUCUGUAAUUGCAACAAUAAUAACAAUAAAUUCUACAAAUCUUUAUAAUGGUAUUAUUCUUUGAUAAACCCAUUGUAAAUUGAAAAUAUUAUAUGUAAAUUAUCAUUUAAAAUAGCUUACCAGGGCUGGAGACAAUUCAUUGGUCCCCUGCCAUGCAGAAGGCCCUGAGUUCCCAGCCAAGUACAGCCAAAAAAAGGGAAAAUCAGGUCUGAGCAGGUGACACAGCUCAGCACAGCAAAAGAGGCUGGGAAGCCUGAGUCGCUUGUCAUACUGUGCUUGUGUUAGCCCAAGGAACAUUCAAAAUUCAAAAUCUGAGCCAGAUGCGGUGGAGCACGUCUGUAAUCUCAUCGCUCGAGAAGCUAAGGCGGGAGGAUUGCAGUGAGUUUCAGUCCAGCCUGUGCUACAUGAUGAGUUCAAGGCCAGCCCAAGCGACAUAGCAUGAUCCUGUUUCAGACAAAAUUCAAAAUUGGAAGUAAAGUUGCUACGAAAUAUGGAACGCCUUUACACCAUUGUAAGCUGAAGCAUGGAUCCAACUCGGGACCCUGCACCCGUGAGGCAGGUGCCGGAACCACCAAGCCAAAUCCC
rnacentral:lncRNA from 1 species